CGAGAAGGAAAGGCACAAGCUGUUUCAGGGCUAUGAACCUGAAGAGAGAGAGGAAACGGAGUUGUCUGAGAAAAUUAAACUGGAGCGCCAGCCGGAGCUCUGCGAGACAUCCCAGGCUCUGCCUUCUAAGCCUUUCUCAUGUGGCCGGAGUGGCAAGGGACACAAAAGGAAAACCCCAUUUGGAAAUACAGAAAGAAAGACUCCUGUUAAAAAGCUGGCUCCUGAAUUUUCAAAAUUCAAAACAAAAACUCCUAAGCACUCUCCCAUUAAAGAGGAGCCCUGUGGUUCCAUAUCAGAAACUGUUUGUAAACGUGAAUUGAGGAGCCAAGAAACCCCAGAAAAGCCCCGGUCUUCAGUGGAUACCCCACCAAGACUCUCGACUCCCCAAAAGGGACCCAGCACCCACCCCAAGGAGCAAGCCUUCUCAAGUGAGAUGGAAGAUUUGCCGUACCUUUCCACCACAGAAAUGUAUUUGUGUCGUUGGCACCAGCCUCCCCCAUCACCGUUACCAUUACGGGAAUCCUCUCCAAAGAAGGAGGAGACUGUAGCAAGGUGUCUGAUGCCAUCAAGUGUUGCAGGAGAAACUUCAGUCUUGGCUGUUCCUUCUUGGAGGGACCACUCAGUAGAGCCUCUAAGGGACCCAAAUCCUUCAGACAUUUUGGAGAACCUGGAUGACAGUGUGUUUUCAAAGAGGCAUGCGAAACUGGAGCUAGACGAGAAGAGGAGAAAACGAUGGGAUAUUCAGAGGAUCAGGGAACAAAGAAUUUUACAGCGACUGCAGCUCAGAAUGUAUAAAAAGAAAGGAAUUCAGGAAUCUGAGCCUGAGGUUACCUCAUUUUUCCCUGAGCCCGAUGACGUUGAAAGUUUGAUGAUUACCCCCUUCUUGCCUGUUGUAGCAUUUGGACGGCCAUUACCAAAAUUAACUCCACAGAACUUUGAACUACCCUGGUUGGAUGAGCGAAGCCGUUGCAGAUUGGAGAUCCAGAAGAAGCAAACACCUCACCGGACUUGUAGGAAGUAGCUGCGCUGGCAGUAGCCUGUCUUCAGAUAGUUGUAGCACGCUGUUCCGAGAGAAUAGCAGAGACCUGUAUGUGUGACCUAUGUCCUCAUGUAUGUUAUCAUUCACUGGUAAUGCCUUUCCAUGCUCCCUUUUUAUUAGUUUUGUUUUCUUUACUCUGAUUUCACAAAACAAACAAAAGAAACCUCGUGCAUUGAGCUAAUUGUG
rnacentral:lncRNA from 1 species